GGCUCAGGACGAACGCUGGCGGCGUGCUUAACACAUGCAAGUCGAACGUGAUUUUUAUGGAAGGACCUUCGGGGACGGAAAUAAAAUGAAAGUGGCGAACGGGUGAGUAACACGUGAGCAACCUACCUUACACAGGGGGAUAGCCGUUGGAAACGACGAUUAAUACCGCAUGAGACCACAAUACUGCAUGGUAUAGGGGUCAAAGAUUUAUCGGUGUAAGAUGGGCUCGCGUCUGAUUAGCUAGUUGGAAGGGUAAAGGCCUACCAAGGCGACGAUCAGUAGCCGGUCUGAGAGGAUGAACGGCCACACUGGAACUGAGACACGGUCCAGACUCCUACGGGAGGCAGCAGUGGGGAAUAUUGCACAAUGGGGGAAACCCUGAUGCAGCGACGCCGCGUGAGUGAAGAAGUAUUUCGGUAUGUAAAGCUCUAUCAGCAGGGAAGAAAAUGACGGUACCUGACUAAGAAGCCCCGGCUAACUACGUGCCAGCAGCCGCGGUAAUACGUAGGGGGCAAGCGUUAUCCGGAUUUACUGGGUGUAAAGGGAGCGUAGACGGAAUGGCAAGUCUGAAGUGAAAACCCUGGGCUCAACCUGGGGACUGCUUUGGAAACUGUUGUUCUAGAGUGUUGGAGAGGUAAGUGGAAUUCCUGGUGUAGCGGUGAAAUGCGUAGAUAUCAGGAAGAACACCGGAGGCGAAGGCGGCUUACUGGACAAUAACUGACGUUGAGGCUCGAAAGCGUGGGGAUCAAACAGGAUUAGAUACCCUGGUAGUCCACGCUGUAAACGAUGAAUACUAGGUGUUGGUGCCCAAAGGGCAUCGGUGCCGUCGCAA
rnacentral:rRNA from 1 species